UGUAGUCCCGGCCUUCGCCGCAGGCACAGCAAGGCAGGAUCUGAGCUGAGUCUGUGACCCACAGCACGGUUCAUAGCAACACCUGAUCCUUACCUCAGGGAGCAAGGCCAGGGAUUGCACCUGCAUCCUCAUGGAUGCUAGUCAGAUUUGUUUCCGCUGAGCCACGUCGAAAGCUCCUUUUGGAUGCAAUUAUAAGGAGAACUAUUUGUGUAAUUUCUUUAUCAGAUUGUUUAGUGUUUGCAGAUAGGAAUGCAACUGAUUUCUGUGUGUGGACUUCAUAUCCUGCUCCUUUGCUGAAUGUAUUUAUUAGCCCAACAGUUUUUGUGUGUGUGGAAUCUUUGGGUUUUCUACACAUAAAAUCCUUUCAUCAUUCCACUUUCCUUUCUGAUUUUAGUUUUUGAGCCAUCACUGUUUGCUCCUUCGUGUUCGGAACUAAAGCUUUGUCAACUUUGUGGCCUCUUGGGAGGACCAGCGUUCAGUCUUUCAUUGAGUUUUUUUUUUUCCUCCUGCUUUUCUCUUAUCUAUUUGGCUAAUUUCUCCUCCAAUCAUUGGUAUUUUCUUCUUUCUGCUAGCCGCAUCUGGUGUGUCCUUGCGGGAGCCUGGGCUGCACUGGGAGAAGCUGCUGGCGGAGCCCUGGUCCUGACCUCACGUGGCCAGAGGAAUCUGGAAGGGUUUUCGUUUUCGUGUUGCAUGUUGAAGUGUUUCAUUUCGGGAAGGUUUUGAGCAGCUUCCUGACGGGAUGAGGUGUGGAGGCUGAUCCUGACGUAUUGAUUUCUUUUCCAAGAAAGGGACACCCCACUUCUCGCCAGGGCUGAGCCCCUGUCCAGAGAUGAGAGACCCCACAUGGGUGACUUGUGUCUCCCGGGGGAGCAGCCCUAAGCUCGUUUCAACCCGACCAAGUUCUGUCUACACGGUAGAUUCAGACCUCUCCAUGUGCUGUCUGCACUGUGUCUCCACCUGACCGUGCGCUGUCCACACCGAGUGUGUUUGGACCUGACUGUGCACUGUCUUCAGUGAGAACUUUACACCUGACCGAGUUCUGCAAACACUGUGAUAUGAGGACCCGGGGGAGAGCCGGCCUCCGUCCAGAGCUUCAGGGGGACGUGGGGACCUUGGGGAGACCCAGCCUCCGCCCUCGGAGAUUCAGGGGGAUAUACGGACCUGGGGGAGACCCGGCCUCAGUGCUCUCACUUCAGGGAGGAUGUGGGACCCUGGAGGAGAACUGGCCUCAGUCCUGGCGAUUCGGGGGGGAUGUGGGGACCUGGGGGGGAAGCCGGCCUCCGUCCUGGGAAGCUCCGUGCCUCUGUCUGAAUGUCAGUGCUUCAGUGUUGGCUCUAGGGCUGUGUGGGCUUGUCUGUUCGCAGUUUCUGCUCUGAGUGGGGUGACCUGGGCUCCAGGGGUGAGUGCCAUGGGAGGGCCCGAGUCCUGCCCCUGAACAGGUCACCUUCCUGGGGCUGGUGCAGCCCCCUCACCUGGGCUACCUCACGUGACUCCAAUUCCCCAGCCGCCCCGGGGUGAGGAGAGGCAGGUUUCCCUGGCGAACUGAUUGCUGGGCUCGUGGAUCUCCAUUUAAGGCCACAGGGCAGCAGGGGAGGCAGCCUCUGGAGUCUCCUUCCACUUGCCCGCCCACUCGGCCGAGCCCAGGCCUGCACCUCCUCUUGCAGCUCUGCUGUCCCGCGAGGCUUCUCGUCACCUCAGUGAGACGAAGGGCCUGAGCCAGCCAGACCAAGGUCCUGUGUUCCGCUUUGUCCCGAAAGCUUUAAAAGCAGCGCAGAUCCCCCAGAAGCAAGUGAGAAAAGAGGCCUGGCUUCUCUGGGGCGAGCGUUUCGGGGGCCCUCCACCUCGUCUGCACAGAAGGGCCUCCUGAGGCCAGGCCGAGGUCACAGAAACGCGUCCUGUCUGAUGCAGGACCGCCAACCAGAAGGCGCUUCCGGCGCUGGUGCUAGCGGGCCAUCUGGGGUCCCCAAGGCUGAGUGUCUGCACACGGUGUUACCUGUCUGUCCCCAAGAUGUAACUGGACGUCCACCCAGGAGCUGCGGACGGGCGAUAAAUCAGCUGCUUUAGAGAGGAAGCCAUCGAGGGAGUUCCUGUUGUGGCUCAGUGGGUUAAGAACCCGACUAGGGUCCCUGAGGACACAGGU